rnacentral:sRNA from 1 species
AGCCGGAAGCCACGCCUGUCCACUAGCCCGACGCCCGCCUGGCGGGAACAUGGGCUCGCCCCUCACCAGCGAUCUGCAGUCAAUUGGUAGCGCCUGCACGUCGCGCGCGGUGUUCGAUUGUCGCUGCCUGGGGAGGAGGAGCCGGAGGCGGAGCCGGAGCCGCCGCCGCCGCCGCGGGCUUAGUUCGCUGGAGCAUUGGAUUUGCUAAAGGAGCUUAAGAAUAUUCCUAUGACCCUGGAAUUACUGCAGUCCACAAGAAUCGGAAUGUCAGUUAAUGCUAUUCGCAAGCAGAGUACAGAUGAGGAAGUUACAUCUUUGGCAAAGUCUCUCAUCAAAUCCUGGAAAAAAUUAUUAGAUGGGCCAUCAACUGAGAAAGACCUUGACGAAAAGAAGAAAGAACCUGCAAUUACAUCGCAGAACAGCCCUGAGGCAAGAGAAGAAAGUACUUCCAGCGGCAAUGUAAGCAACAGAAAGGAUGAGACAAAUGCUCGAGAUACUUAUGUUUCAUCCUUUCCUCGGGCACCAAGCACUUCUGAUUCUGUGCGGUUGAAGUGUAGGGAGAUGCUUGCUGCAGCUCUUCGAACAGGGGAUGACUACAUUGCAAUUGGAGCUGAUGAGGAAGAAUUAGGAUCUCAAAUUGAAGAAGAUAUCCUUUGUACAAACCCGUAGUGCUGAUGAACCAAUGACAACAUUUGUUGUCUGUAAUGAAUGUGGAAAUCGAUGGAAGGUAUGGACUCUCUUGGAUUCAUAUUAUAUACUCACUUAAAAUAGAAAGAUUUCUUCUGGUCUUUUCAUAGGUCUGCCUAGAUAUCUAAAUAUAUACAGAUAUGCUCACACUAUACAGUACUCUUGUAC